CGACACAUGAAAUUACACACCCGGUACAUGAAAUUACACAUCCGGUACAGGAUGAUAUGUUUCUUACCUGUAUAAGACAAAGCUGUCCAAAACGACCAACCUUGAAACCUUCCCAUGCAACACCCACCACACGUUGACGUGAAAUGUACGCAAUCUAAAUUUUGAAAUUUCAUAUAUUGAUGGUAGACAAAUCUUGUAAAAAUAUUAC